rnacentral:hammerhead_ribozyme from 1 species
AUCCAGCUGACGAGUCCGCAAUGGGACGAAACGCGCGUCCUGGAU